UACAGAGGGUGCAAGCGUUAAUCGGAAUUACUGGGCGUAAAGGGUGCGUAGGUGGUUAUGUAAGUUGGGUGUGAAAUUCCUGGGCUCAACCUGGGGACUGCGCUCAAUACUGUGUAGCUAGAGUACUGUAGAGGAAGGUGGAAUUUCCAGUGUAGCGGUGAAAUGCGUAGAUAUUGGAAGGAACAUCAGUGGCGAAGGCGGACUUUCUGGACAGAUACUGACACUGAGAGACGAAAGCUAGGGGAGCGAAUGGG
rnacentral:rRNA from 1 species